rnacentral:rRNA from 1 species
GACGAACGCUGGCGGCGUGCUUAACACAUGCAAGUCGAACGGAAAGGCCCUGCUUUUGUGGGGUGCUCGAGUGGCGAACGGGUGAGUAACACGUGAGUAGCCUGCCCUUGACUUUGGGAUAACUUCAGGAAACUGGGGCUAAUACCGGAUAGGAGCUCCUGCUGCAUGGUGGGGGUUGGAAAGUUUCGGCGGUUGGGGAUGGACUCGCGGCUUAUCAGCUUGUUGGUGGGGUAGUGGCUUACCAAGGCUUUGACGGGUAGCCGGCCUGAGAGGGUGACCGGCCGCAUUGGGACUGAGAUACGGCCCAGACUCCUACGGGAGGCAGCAGUGGGGAAUAUUGCACAAUGGGCGGAAGCCUGAUGCAGCAACGCCGCGUGCGGGAUGACGGCCUUCGGGUUGUAAACCGCUUUCGCCUGUGACGAAGCGUGAGUGACGGUAAUGGGUAAAGAAGCACCGGCUAACUACGUG